GUAUCACUAUAGCUCAGUUGGUAGAGUGCUUGCCUUGCAUGCACAAGGCCCUGGGUUUGAUCCCCAGUACCACA
rnacentral:tRNA from 1 species